rnacentral:lncRNA from 1 species
GGAGGGGUCCCUAUUUGCCAGCGAUGAGGGGGUUGCGGAGGACGACGAUGACGGAGUCCCCCCGCAGGAACAUUUUGGAGAUGUAGCGGUCUUUGUUCACCGGUUUGGAUUUCUUUUUGCCUUUGCCGCUUUUCGGGACCUCCGUCCACAUCUCCUUCACGUUCUCCAGGACCAUAUUGCAGUGCCUGUCGAAGGCCUUGACGCGGCCCAGCAGCUUCUUGUUGUUGCGGCAGUUGAUCAGCACCUGCGUGUUGUUCUUCACCGACUGCGUCAGCACCGACAGCGGCCCGGUGUUGAACUCCUCCUCCUCGCGCUUCUGCAGCUCCUCCGGCGUCAUCUCGCUCUUGGGUUUGUUCAG